rnacentral:rRNA from 1 species
CCUACGGGAGGCAGCAGUGGGGAAUAUUGGACAAUGGGCGGAAGCCUGAUCCAGCCAUGCCGCGUGUGUGAAGAAGGCCUUUUGGUUGUAAAGCACUUUAAGCGAGGAGGAGGCUACUAGUAUUAAUACUACUGGAUAGUGGACGUUACUCGCAGAAUAAGCACCGGCUAACUCUGUGCCAGCAGCCGCGGUAAUACAGAGGGUGCGAGCGUUAAUCGGAUUUACUGGGCGUAAAGCGUGCGUAGGCGGCUGAUUAAGUCGGAUGUGAAAUCCCUGAGCUUAACUUAGGAAUUGCAUUCGAUACUGGUCAGCUAGAGUAUGGGAGAGGAUGGUAGAAUUCCAGGUGUAGCGGUGAAAUGCGUAGAGAUCUGGAGGAAUACCGAUGGCGAAGGCAGCCAUCUGGCCUAAUACUGACGCUGAGGUACGAAAGCAUGGGGAGCAAACAGGAUUAGAUACCCUGGUAGUCCAUGCCGUAAACGAUGUCUACUAGCCGUUGGGGUCUUUGAGACUUUAGUGGCGCAGCUAACGCGAUAAGUAGACCGCCUGGGGAGUACGGUCGCAAGACUAAAACGUCAAAUGAAUUGAGGCUUGGAGACGNGCGACGGACGACGAGAGGGAGAGG